GAUAAUGGCUCAGGACGAGCGCUGGCGGCGUGCCUAACACAUGCAAGUCGAACGGAGAAUUUUAUUUCGGUAGAAUUCUUAGUGGCGAACGGGUGAGUAACGCGUAGGCAACCUGCCCUUUAGACGGGGACAACAUUCCGAAAGGAGUGCUAAUACCGGAUGUGAUCAUCGUGCCGCGUGGCAGGAUGAAGAAAGAUGGCCUCUACAAGUAAGCUAUCGCUAAAGGAUGGG
rnacentral:rRNA from 1 species